ensembl:ncRNA C49H3.15 ncRNA
AUGGAAAUCAGCAGGCAGUUGCAAUGGGGGAGGAGAGAGCGUGGUGAGACCCGUUGCCUUUGAAAUUGACUGCGCCUUUGAUUUAGAGGAGAGGCGCACAGCUUCCCCGGCUUUUCAACGUUAGUUUGAAAGAAAUACAAUAACGAAUUGAGAAAUUUCUAUAUUUAUUCAUUUAAUAAGCUAUAGAUAAAAUGAAAUUUCGUAAAAAUCGAAA